GACGAACGCUGGCGGCGUGCUUAACACAUGCAAGUCGAACGGAAAGGCCCUGCUUGCAGGGUACUCGAGUGGCGAACGGGUGAGUAACACGUGGGUGAUCUGCCCUGCACUUCGGGAUAAGCCUGGGAAACUGGGUCUAAUACCGGAUAGGAGCCAUUAUUAGUGUGAUGGUUGGAAAGUUUUUUCGGUGUAGGAUGAGCUCGCGGCCUAUCAGCUUGUUGGUGGGGUAAUGGCCUACCAAGGCGGCGACGGGUAGCCGGCCUGAGAGGGUGGACGGCCACAGUGGGACUGAGAUACGGCCCAGGCUCCUACGGGAGGCAGCAGUGGGGAAGAUUGCACAAUGGGCGCAAGCCUGAUGCAGCGACGCCGCGGGGGGGAUGACGGCCUUCGGGUUGUAAACUCCUUUCGCUAGGGACGAAGCUUUUUGUGACGGUACCUAGAGAAGAAGCACCGGCUAACUACGUG
rnacentral:rRNA from 1 species